rnacentral:rRNA from 1 species
AGAGUUUUAUCAUGGCUCAGGAUAAACGCUGGCGGCGCACAUAAGACAUGCAAGUCGAACGAACUUAACCAUUAGUUUACUAUUGGAGCGGUUAGUGGCGGACUGGUGAGUAACACGUAAGCAACCUGCCUAUCAGAGGGGAACAACAGUUAGAAAGUGACUGCUAAAUACCGCAUAUGCCUUAGAAUCACAUGGUUCAAAAGGGAAGGAGC